rnacentral:tRNA from 1 species
UCCCAAAUGGCUCAGUGGCAAAGAAUCUGCCUGCCAAGCAGGAGAUGCAGUUUCGAUCCCUGGGUUGGGAA